AUGGUUAACUGUGUUAAGAUUAAUACUGAUGGGGCGUUAUGUGAAGAAUCCCAUUCAGGAGGCUGGGGCUUUAUUGUGAGAAAUGAUCGAGGUGUUCCUGUGGCUGCGGGACGCAACCAUCUCCAGGGAGUAAGCUCUGCACUUUAUGUUGAAGCUUUGGCGCUACUCAAAGCUUUGCACAUGACCUCCGAUAUGGGAUGCAGUUGGGUUCAACUGGAGGUGGACGCGACCAAUCUGAAGCAAGCUAUCACCUCCCACGAUUAUGAUCUUUCGUCUCUAGGAGUCUUGUUUAAAGAAAUAAAAUCUUUGUUGUGUGUUGCUUAUGAUAGUGUUAAAAUUUAUGUAUGUAUGAGGUCUUGUAACUCUGUGGUGCAUGAACUUGCCGCGCGUGGCGCUCUGCAAGGGGAUGGCAACUGUGUUGUGUGGGUUGGCCAUCUUCCUCACUUUGUACUGAACUUGUGUGCUGACGAUGUAUCCAGUGCCUCGGUUUAA
rnacentral:rRNA from 1 species